GCGGAAGGAUCAUUAUUGUAUAACACGAGACAUUGAGGCCUGUCGCUGACGAAAGUCGUGCACGCCUUGGUGUUCUUACCUCCAUUUCACCCUUGUGCAUCAUCGCGUGGGCCGUUCCCAUUGGGAAUGGUCUACGUUUUUAAUACAAACCCCUAUUGAUGUGUAGAAUGUGUACUUUGCGAUAACAACGCAACUAAUACAACUUUCAACAACGGAUCUCUUGGCUCUCGCAUCGAUGAAGAACGCAGCGAAAUGCGAUACGUAAUGUGAAUUGCAGAAUUCAGUGAAUCAUCGAAUCUUUGAACGCACCUUGCGCCUCUUGGUAUUCCGAGGGGCACGCCCGUUUGAGUGUCGUGAAAUUCUCAACCCUCUUGGUUUUCUUUUGAAGGCUAAGAGGGCUUGGACUUGGAGGUUCUUGCUGGCAGCACUUUGCGAUCAGCUCCUCUUAAAUGCAUUAGCGAGGUUCUCUUUGCCUGACCUUUGGCCGUGAUAAGUAUCCUACCCUCCUUUGGUGUGGCUC
rnacentral:rRNA from 1 species